rnacentral:rRNA from 1 species
GAUGAACGCUAGCUACAGGCUUAACACAUGCAAGUCGAGGGGCAGCAUGGUCUUAGCUUGCUAAGGCCGAUGGCGACCGGCGCACGGGUGAGUAACACGUAUCCAACCUGCCGUCUACUCUUGGACAGCCUUCUGAAAGGAAGAUUAAUACAAGAUGGCAUCAUGAGUCCGCAUGUUCACAUGAUUAAAGGUAUUCCGGUAGACGAUGGGGAUGCGUUCCAUUAGAUAGUAGGCGGGGUAACGGCCCACCUAGUCUUCGAUGGAUAGGGGUUCUGAGAGGAAGGUCCCCCACAUUGGAACUGAGACACGGUCCAAACUCCUACGGGAGGCAGCAGUGAGGAAUAUUGGUCAAUGGGCGAGAGCCUGAACCAGCCAAGUAGCGUGAAGGAUGACUGCCCUAUGGGUUGUAAACUUCUUUUAUAAAGGAAUAAAGUCGGUAUGCAUACCCGUUUGCAUGUACUUUAUGAAUAAGGAUCGGCUAACUCCGUGCCAG